rnacentral:rRNA from 1 species
GUGGGGAAUCUUGCGCAAUGGGCGAAAGCCUGACGCAGCGACGCCGCGUGAGUGAUGAAGGCCUUCGGGUUGUAAAGCUCUGUGGGGAGAGACGAAUAAGGGUCGGCUAACACCCGGCUCGAUGACGGUAUCUCCUUAGCAAGCACCGGCUAACUCUGUGCCAGCAGCCGCGGUAAGACAGAGGGUGCAAACGUUGUUCGGAAUUACUGGGCGUAAAGCGCAUGUAGGCGGCAAGGCAUGUCGGAUGUGAAAUCCCGUGGCUCAACCACGGAAGUGCACCCGAAACUGCCUAGCUGGAGUCUCGGAGAGGAAGGCGGAAUGCUUGGUGUAGAGGUGAAAUUCGUAGAUAUCAAGCGGAACACCGGUGGCGAAGGCGGCCUUCUGGACGAUGACUGACGCUGAGAUGCGAAAGCGUGGGGAGCAAACAGGAUUAGAUACCCGGGUAGUCC